rnacentral:rRNA from 1 species
AUGCAGUCGUACGAGAUUUUUAAUUCAAGUGGCGGACGGGUGAGUAACACGUAAGAAUUUGCCUUUAGGAGGGGGAUAACAACUGGAAACGGUUGCUAAUACCCCAUAUGCUUUCGAGUGAAAUGGAUUUUUCCGCCUAGAGAGAAGCUUGCGGCUGAUUAGCUUGUUGGUAAGGUAAUGGCUUACCAAGGCGACGAUCAGUAUCUGGUUUGAGAGGAUGAUCAGACACACUGGAACUGAGACACGGUCCAGACUCCUACGGGAGGCAGCAGUGGGGAAUUUUCCGCAAUGGGCGAAAGCCUGACGGAGCAAUCUCGCGUGAGGGAUGACGGCCUAUGGGUUGUAAACCUCUUUUUUCAGGGAGGAAUAAAUGACGUGUACCUGAAGAAUAAGCAUCGGCUAACUCCGUGCCAGCAGCCGCGGUAAUACG